UCCCCUGGACACCCACCCAUCCCUGGACACCGGACACCUACCCAACCCUGUCCCCUACAGAUCUACCCAACCCUGUCCCCUGGACACCUACCCAACCUAUAAUAAAGGUCUGGGUCAGCCAAUAAAGGUCAGCCAUUAAAGGUCAGCCAAUAAAGGUCAGGGUCAGCCAUUAAAGGUCAGCCAAUAAAGGUCAGCCAAUAAAGGUCAGCCAAUAAAGGUCAGCCAUUAAAGGUCAGCCAAUAAAGGUCAGCCAAUAAAGGUCAGCCAUUAAAGGUCAGCCAAUAAAGGUCAGCCAAUAAAGGUCAGCCAUUAAAGGUCAGCCAAUAAAGGUCAGCCAAUAAAGGUCAGCCAUUAAAGGUCAGCCAUUAAAGGUCAGCCAUUAAAGGUCAGCCAUUAAAGGUCAGCCAUUAAAGGUCAGCCAUUAAAGGUCAGCCAAUAAAGGUCAGCCAUUAAAGGUCAGCCAAUAAAGGUCAGCCAUUAAAAGUCAGCCAAUAAAGGUCAGCCAAUAAAGGUCAGGGUCAGCCAUUAAAGGUCAGCCAUUAAAGGUCAGCCAAUAAAGGUCAGCCAAUAAAGGUCAGGGUCAGCCAUUAAAGGUCAGCCAUUAAAGGUCAGCCAUUAAAGGUCAGCCAUUCAAGGUCAGCCAAUGACUAAAUAGGAAAUAUGGUGGCAUUUGGAACUCAUACCCUAAAGUACAUGAACUAGCCGAUACAGUAUAUAUGAACAUUUAGAGAGAGAGAGAGAGAGAGAGAGAGAGAGAGAGACGGAGAGACAGAGAGACGGAGAGACAGAGAGACAGAGAGAGAGAGAGAGAGAGAGAGAGAAAGAUAAAGUACAUGCUCAAACAGGUUCCUGCAUUUUUUGUUGUUGAAGGAUUCAAACUUUUCACUCCCAUCAAUCUCUUCUUCUUUUCUCUCUAACCCCCCCCUUCUCUCUCUCUCCCCC
rnacentral:lncRNA from 1 species